AUGUGUGAGGCUCUUCACCUCAGCUUUAACAAUUGCAAUGGCAGACGCUACAACUAGGAGAGACAGGAAGAAGGGCUGGGGCAUGCGUUUGUGUGGGAGGAGAAUUUUUUGGGAGAUUAACUUAUAUAUAACCAAGAAAACUUAAGUCAUAACCACUAUUUGUGGGUAAAAAAAUGAACAUGUAUACUUUGCAUUUAUAGUCUCUGUUUUACGAUAUAUAUUCAGAAAAAGUAUGUAUUUAAUACUAAAUACUGAAAUGUUUAAUACUAGGAAAACAUUCCCUGAGAUUUUAAAGAAACUUUUAAUUUCACAGCUGAUAGUCUUUUACUUAACAUAUAGUUUAUUUUUGGUGAACAGAAUGAUUUCAGCCUCAUUACAAAAAAAAAAAAAAGAAUCAAAGAGUACUAAAGUGCUUUAGUGAUUUGGAAAUUAGCUUUUAUGACCUUUGGCAACAUAUUAUAGAAAUCGUUCAAGCAGUGUACACUAUUUCAAGUGCAUAAACAAAAGGCAAAUUCUUGAAUUGUUUGGUAAGUUUCUACUUAUAAAUAUCCACUAUAUAAACUUACUAAACAUCAAGGAUUAAAAGGAUGUAAGAGUCAAAAAAGAGUUAAAUCUCUGAUUAAUUUUUGGUUUUAGAAAUUAGAAAGCAUUAGACACUUUGAAAUUAAAGUUGUGUUCGGGAGCUGGCUUUUUUACUGCCUUAUGAGAGUCGAAUGUUACAUUUUAAGGAAUUUUGCAAGCCUACUAUUAAACAUAGCCCUUGUAAGCAUUAAACUAUAUAAACUUACCAUUAAAUAAAUUAUAUUAAAGUACCUGUAAUAAUGUUCAAAAAUGCACCACUUCCUAAUGAUUUUACUACUACCUAGGCUUGUGAGGUUAUUCACAUCUCUGUAUCUAUAUAGUAAAAAUGCUAUGCAAUGGUAUGCUACUACAUAUCUCUUCCAAAAUCCACUCUCAGUAGUGUCAUGUUGGUAGCAUGAAUUUGGAUAUGGCUGAAGUAUUUACAUCACAGAAAUUAGCAUACACUAUAAAUCAGAGCUUGCCUUGUUUUUUUUUCUUCAGUAAGCUCGUUGUUAACAUUUUACUGGCACACUACACACACACACACACACAGCAAUAUAUAAGUAGUGCAUAUAUAUAGAUUUAUAGAGAUAGGUAAAUAUAGAUAUAUAGAUUUAAAUAUGUAAAUUCAGCUAUCUAUACCAGCUAGACAAACAAAUGAAAACUGAAAAAUGAAAAUUUGUCAGCAACUUAAGUGUGAAGAAAAUGUGGUAUAUACAUACAAGGGAAUAUUGUUCAGCCAUAAAAAGAAGGAAAUCUUGACAUAGGUCAUAGCAUGGAUGAACCUUGAUUAUAAUAUACUAAGUAAAAUAAACCAAUUGCAGAAGGACAUAGAUGGCAUGACUCUACUUAUAAGAGACAUCGAAGUUAUUCUAACUCAUAGAAGCAGAAAAUAGAAUGGUAGUUGCCAUGGGCUGGCAGGGGGUGGGGGAAAUGGGUCAUGCUGUUCGAUAGGUAUAAAUUUCAGAUAAGAAAGCCCUACAGAUCAUUUGUACGGUAUUAUGUUUAUAGUUAACAGUACUGUACUGUAUACUUAAAAUGUGUUAAGAGGGUAAAUCUCACCUUCCGUUUAUACCACAAAAAAUACUACUAAUAAUAAAUAAAGUAAAAAUAAAGUCUUGUUCUAAACAACUUGAGAAACAAGCCUAGAGAAUGACCAUGAAAGCUAUGGUUAACAUGCAACAAACAGAUCCCAACUACAGAUGUCUACACGGGGCUGUUGUGAAAUAGACUUAUUGGACAUUUACCAAGUUACUAUUUCCCAGGCUAGAAAGAACAAUGAGUCACUACCACUAGGAUGCUCAAAUUCCACAAAUGGACAUGAAAUUUUAUAAACCAUAUAACAAGAGAGAUCUAUGAAGGACAAACCUGUAUUUAUAUUGACAAUCUACUGUGUGGCAAAUAUGAUAAUAGAAAAUUUAUUUGCAUCAUCCCAAGUAAAUUCUAUAUGAAUUCUCAUGUACAAGUAUCAUUACCCCAUUUUACAUAUCAGACACAGAGAAAUUAAAUAACAUCACAAUAACCACGAUAAAUUAUAUGCCUAUUCUACUAUUAACUUCUGUCCAUGUCACUCAUUCUCUUUCAUAAUCUUCUUGGCAUCUCCCUUAGGAAUAACUUCUGCUGUGAAGGGCAUUACAGAUAAAUUACAUUUAAGCAAGGUUAUUCUGUUUUGGCGGCUGAAGCAGUACAAAAUUAUUAUCUUACAGUUUCAUAGAUCAGAAGUCAGACAUACAUCUCACUGGGCAAGGUUUUUCUAACUUAGCCACCACAAUUAACCAGCAAAGUAAACCUAUCAUCACAAAAUAGUAAGGUUAUUUUUUAAGAUUUUAUUUAUUUAUUCAUGAGAGACACAGAGAGAGAUGGGGGCAGAGACAUAGGCAGUGAGAGAAGCAAGGGCCCUGCGGGGAGCCUGGUAUGGGACUUGAUCCCAGGACCCCGGGAUCACAACCUGAGCCAAAGGCAGACACUCAACUCCUGAGCCACUCAGGUGCCCCGGUAGUAAAGCUUUUAUAAAUGAAAAAGAUAAGAGAAAAAUCAUGCUAAAAACAAUGUCUACUUGGCUAUUGACUAAUAUAUUGUGGUAAGCCCUCCUACUGAAAUCACUGCCCAAAUGAGGCAAAAUGAGAAAAAGGAAGCUUCUUUUUUUUUUUUUAAGGAAGCUUCUUAAAUUCAAAAAGUAGCAGAGUAAAAUAAGUAUCAGAGAAAGAAAAUCAUCAUAUGGUUUCACUUAUAUGUGGAAUAUAAGAAAUAAUGAAAGGGACUAUAAGGGAAAGAAGGGAAACUGAGUGGGGAAAAAUUAAAGACAAACCAUGAGAGACUCCUGAGUCUGGGAAACAAACAAAGGGCUGCAGAAGGGGUGAAGAGUGGGGAAUGGGAUAACUUAGUGAUGGGCAUUAAGGAGGACACUUGACCAGAUGAGCACCGGGUGUUAAACUAUAUGUUGGCAAAUUGAAUUUAAAUAAAAUAUUGAAAAGAUAGCAGAAAGCAUAACCUUUUUUUUCCAAGUAUCAGUUAAAUCUGAUAAUAAUCUCUUCAGAACUAUUUAUAUAUUUGAAUUUAUGUCUUCUAGGGUACAUUGUAGAAUAGAGUUAAAUAAGACCAAAAGAGCCUUUAAAAGAUAAUAUGAAUUCCAGUUUUAUUAUCAGAGGAGAAUAUAGAAUAUGGACUAUCUAAAAGGCACCAGAUGCUCUGAUUAGUCAAUUAUCAUUACAUUCUAGAUAACAGAGAAUUUAUAUUUUUUGAGUGUCUUCCAGAUUGAGUACUCUGGCAUAUAAUAUACAUUAUAAAGAAAUGAUAGCUGUAUCAUAAAGUUAGACCCAAUGAUAUUUUUCAAAUACAUAAUAAUUGAAGAGAUCUCACUAGUUAGCUUAGUAUAACAUAAACAUAGAUAUUCUAUCCAUCAAAGGAAGACAAAGGAAAGACCUUUAGUUCCUAUUUAAAAUUUUUGGUAAAAAAAAAUUAGUUUAAUCCUUGAGAAAUAGCUGUCUCUUAAUGCACAUAAGUUUAUAUUCACUUAGGCUUUUUAACAUUAAAAAAAAACGGUUUUACCAAUUUCAUUCUAGAAAGGAUGACUGAAUAGUCUAAUGGUUCAAUGGUCUUAAUGGUUAAGAAUAAUAGCUUUGAAGUGACACUACCUGGGAUCAAAACACUAAAUAUUUUGGGUCAUAUCUCUAUGCUUUGGUUUUCAUCUCUGUAUAUGGGUGGUAUAAAGUUGUAAUGUCUAUUUCCUCAGCAGUUGGACACAUUUUAAGAGUUUAUUAUUAUGUGCAAUUUAUAAAUAAACCAAAUUGACAAAACACACCAAAUUGUGAAAUAUGCAGGGAUAUAGUAAUUUACAUCAUUUUUUCUUAUCUUUUUUUUUUUUUUUUAAAUGCCUUAAGUAAGAGGACAUAAACUUAAAAGGAGUAGACAUUCUCCUUUUGGGUUCAUCAGUCACAUUAAUCCCAGUUCACACUUUGAAAUGAAAAGAUUAAGUCUCAUUAUAGUUUUAAAAAUGUAACUUUAAAUAAUAUUAAUGGCAUGCCAUCACAGCAGCUACAAAAGGGUGAACUAGUAAUUACCAACAAGCAACUGAUGGUAAAAUUAUUGUCACUCUUGUUUGCUAUUGUCAAGUUACCUUUCUAAUACUGCAAUAUGAACACUUUCCUUGUGAUUUUGUAUUCCAUUUUAUCCUAAAAGAUGGGAUAGAAUGAACCAAAGAAAUGACCUGUCUUUGCCUCACAUACUUCAAUUCUUACCCAAAAUUUACUUGGAUAUCUUUAGGGAUGGCACACAAUUUCUUUUGAGUAAGACAUUAUUGCCAGACAUGUUUAGUUUCAGCAGCCUGUAAUGAAAUUCAAAUCAAUUUUUGUUUUUUCCACCUUUUGGGAAAUUAAAAGUUUUAAUUUUUACUUAAAACAUAAAAUUUUGGGAUCCCUGGGUGGCGCAGCGGUUUGGCGCCUGCCUUUGGCCCAGGGCGCGAUCCUGGAGACCCGGGAUCGAAUCCCACAACGGGCUCCCAGUGCAUGGAGCCUGCUUCUCCCUCUGCCUGUG
rnacentral:lncRNA from 1 species